CAUGAUGGAUCUUCUGUCUGACCACAAAAGCAGCGAUAUCUCUGAGGCGUAUCAUUCUGAUCAUAAUCAUGGCGACACUUGGGACUAGAAUAAUAACAUUCACAUUAACAAUUGUUAACAUUUUAGAUAAACCAUAAAAAUAGCAGCUGGGAAGACAGAAGAUUAUGAACUGAAUAGAAGUAAGAAUUUUAAGAAACCACAAGUCUUACCAUGCCCAUUUAAAACUGACAACUGCAAAUCCCCGUGGCUGAUCCUCAAGAGCUUGUUUCUGAUGUGCUACACUGUCCUUUGCCCAACGCUGAACACAGAUCCAAUACAAAUAAGGCAAGAGGCGGCACCAGACUGAAAAGCAUCCUCUAAGAAACGCUGUGUUCUUCCUAAGUCUUCAAUCUUUCCUCCAAUUUGUGAAUAGAGUUGCAGUACAGAUCCUGAAAGCACACUAUGAAUGGUAAUAUGGCUACAAGUAGAAUAAAACUACAUAAUAACAACCUUCCCCUCAAAAUGAAAUGUUUAUCCACUAGCAGUAAACAAUUUAAAAUGGCAGUAAAAGAAUUCAUUUUAAUCAAACUUACUUUCUUCUCUGUGCAUGUAUUUAUAUUGUUAAUAAAUGGUGGGUAUUAAUACAGUUUUGGAAAUGGGCAUGUUUUCUCUGGUUGAAAUUGUGUAUGACUCUAAAUGGAAUGUAGAACUCAUGAGCAACUGUUGAUGGUGAAAGUGUGUGUAAUCUGAUCUAUCUGAAGAAGUACUUUCUUUCUGGCAAAUGUUCUACAACUGUAUUGUAUUUAUAGAUAUUUUCUGAAUGUGAAAUCUUGUUCUCUGACUUGCUCUACACCCUGCUUUUUUAGGACCAAUGGAAUACAUUUAUAACUAUCUAUCCAUGAA